rnacentral:tRNA from 1 species
GCAGGAGUGGCGGAAUGGCAGACGCAGCAGACUCAAAAUCUGCCGGGGGUAACUUCGUGUGGGUUCAAGUCCCAUCUCCUGCA